rnacentral:rRNA from 1 species
GACGAACGCUGGCGGCGUGCUUAACACAUGCAAGUCGAACGGAAAGGCCUGCUUUCCCUUGUGGAUUGCGGGUACUCGAGUGGCGAACGGGUGAGUAACACGUGAGUGAUCUGCCCCCAACUUGGGUAUAAGCCUGGGAAACUGGGUCUAAUUCCCGAUAGGACUGCAGGGUGGUGCCUGUGGUGGAAAACGAUUUUCUAGUGGUUGGGGAUGAGCUCGCGGCCUAUCAGCUUGUUGGUGGGGUAAUGGCCUACCAAGGCGGCGACGGGUAGCCGGCCUGAGAGGGUGGACGGCCACAUUGGGACUGAGAUACGGCCCAGACUCCGACGGGAGGCAGCAGGGGGGAAUAUUGCACAAUGGGCGGAAGCCUGAUGCAGCGACGCCGCGUGGGGGAUGACGGCCUUCGGGUUGUAAACUCCUUUCGACCGCGAGGAAGCCACCUGGUUGGAAGGGUGGUGACGGUAGUGGUAGAAGAAGCACCGGCUAACUACGUG